GCCUGGCUGGCUCAGUCGGUUAAGCGUCUGACUUCGGCUCAGGUUGUGAUCUCACAGUUUGUGGGUUCGAGCCCCACAUCAGGCU
rnacentral:tRNA from 1 species